CNCAUGCAAGUCGAACGAGAAAGGGAUUGCUUGCAAUCCUGAGUAGAGUGGCGCACGGGUGAGUAACACGUAGAUAAUCUACCUUCAAGCCUGGGAUAACUAUUCGAAAGGAUAGCUAAUACCGGAUGAAGUAUUUCGACAUAAGUCAAACUAUGAAAGAUUGCCUCUUCAUGAAAGCAAUUGUUUGGAGAUGAGUCUGCGGACCAUUAGCUUGUUGGUGGGGUAAAGGCCUACCAAGGCUGCGAUGGUUAGCUGGUCUGAGAGGAUGAUCAGUCACACUGGAACUGGAACACGGUCCAGACUCCUACGGGAGGCAGCAGUGAGGAAUUUUGCGCAAUGGGGGAAACCCUGACGCAGCAACGCCGCGUGAGUGAAGAAGGCCUUUGGGUCGUAAAGCUCUGUCAACUGGGAAGAAGUUACAAUUAUCUAAUAGGUAGUUGUAUUGACGGUACCAGUGGAGGAAGCGCCGGCCAACUCCGUGCCAGCAGCCGCGGUAAUACGGGGGGCGCAAGCGUUAUUCGGAAUUAUUGGGCGUAAAGGGCGCGUAGGCGGUCUUGUCGGUCAGAUGUGAAAGCCCAGGGCUCAACCCUGGACGUGCAUUUGAAACAGCAAGACUUGAGUACGGGAGAGGAAAGCGGAAUUCCUGGUGUAGAGGUGAAAUUCGUAGAUAUCAGGAGGAACACCGAUGGCGAAGGCAGCUUUCUGGACCGAUACUGACGCUGAGGCGCGAAGGCGUGGGUAGCGAACAGGAUUAGAUACCCUGGUAGUCCACGCAGUAAACGAUGUUCACUAGGUGUAGCGGGUAUUAAAAUCUGCUGUGCCGGAGCUAACGCAUUAAGUGAACCGCCUGGGGAGUACGGUCGCAAGACUAAAACUCAAAGGAAUUGACGG
rnacentral:rRNA from 1 species